UCUGUCUCCGAGAUUUCAAAACGUGGCGUGGGAGGCAGGAAGGAGCGGGAAGACGGCUGGAGGAGGGAGGAGCCCGGGCCGCGCGGCUGAGAUUCCCAAGGGAGGGACUGAGCGGCCAGGAUCUCUCACUUGCACGCGCACGUGCGCGUGCACACACACACACGGAUGCGCAGGCACAACUGGGCAGGGCCCGCGGGUGCCCUCCUCGGGUUUGGUUUACAGCCUGGGCCAGGAGGCUCGGGGCCUGGCAGGACCCCCAACACCCCUGGCCACGAUCCUGAUGCCACACAGACAAGACCGGUGCCUGGGCCGGGCCGUGGGAACACCCGGUUCCCCCUCCCGGGCACACACGCUCACGCGCGCCCAGCAAAGCCGGCUGCAGCCGGAAAUGGGAAGAACCAGAAGCGCCGCACCAGGGAGCCCCUCCUUUGGCGGGGGACACAUGUACAUGACAGCCCCUCCCCUGAACCCACGCGCCCCACCGGACCCUCAACAACCCCCAAGGAGAGGAGGCCUUUGUGACUCAAAUAACUUAGGCAAGAAGGACUAUGGGGUCCCCGCCGGUGUUCCCGGGCAGGGCAGGCGGCGGCCCGGUGUUAUCUGUUCAACGUCCUGCCGGGGCCCAGGCCCCCGUUGUGGCUGGAGGGCGGGAAGGCCUCGGGCCUGUGCAGAGGCGGCGGGGACUGGGGCGCGGGGUGCGGGCCGGGCCGGCCGGGCGGCUGCUGCAGGUUCAGGAUGCUGUCGAUGGCGCUCUGCAGGUGCUCCGUGAGCGCGUCGUCCUGCGGGCUGUCGCUGGAGAAGCUGGCCUGGUCCAUGUCGGGUGACUCGGACUUGCGCCGCUUGGCAGGCGGCGCGGGGGCUGCGUCCCAACCGGGGUCGGGGUCCGGGGCGCUGGGGGCCGCGGGCUCGGGCGCUGCCGCCUUGCGCAGGCGCUGGUACAACUCGUCCUCCACCGCCGCCAGCUCGCGGAUGAGCCCGCUGGUGGCCUCUUCGGCGCGCCCGCCCACAUUCUCGCGGUAAGUCUUGCGCAGCGGCAGGCGCGGGCCGUGCGUGCCGGGCCCCGGCCCCGGCCCAGGUCCCGGCCCCGGCCCCGGCCCGGACGGCUUGCGCUCUCGCUCGGGGGCGGGGGACGCGCGCUCGGCCGUGCCGUUGACCUGGCUAGCGGUGGGCGGAGGCUGGUGCACUGGGUCGAGCGCCGUGUUGUGCACCACCUUGCUGAGCCCCGCCUCCUGCUUGAUCUUCAGCUUCAGGCCGAUGCGGCUGCGCGCCUCGUAUGUCUUGAUGGGCGGGCGGUUGCGUGAUGGCAUCGGGCCGUCCUCGUCGGCGUCCAGGGACGAGGCCGCGCAGGACGACAGGGACGGGGACGGCAAGGUCGCGGACGAGCUGUUUAUCCAAGGCAAGGGUGGUCUUCUCCUCCUGAAUAAACAUGCGGUCUAUCAUCACCAUCUCCGCUGAGGGGCUCACUCGCUGGGAGAAGAAAAGAUCCCCAAGUGAAAAGGCAAAGAGAUGACAGACGUGUCACCGCGCCCAGCCCCCCACUGUCCCUGCGAUGUGACCAUCUCCCUCCCGACCUCCUUUCCGGCAGAGGGGCCGGGUGGGAUGUGGGCCCUACCCGGGACUCCUCCAGGAGCAACAACCGGUACUUAUUGAGCAUGGCAUGGGUGCGUUUCAGCAGCUGUGUGGAGACCGUCUCAAACUCCUCGUCCACUGCCAGGAAGAGAAGGAGUGCAGGGCCAGGAUGUUGGGGGGCUGCACACUGCCCAUGCACCCCGAGCCGGGCAGGCAACUGCAGCACAGGGGCUCAGUGGUUUCCACGAGCUGAUGGCCCAGCCAGGGCCUUGGGGACAUGCGGGGAGGGAGGCCUCACCUUUGUGGUAGUCGCUAGGGGAAGGGAGGGCGCCCUGGUAGACGUGGUAGGGCAGGAGGCGGUGCAGGGCGUCCUCGAAGGAGGGGAAGGCUGUCUUGUAGUCGGGGUGGAGGACGGAGCCCUGGUGUUUGUGCAAAUGCUCCAGAAAGCUGCGGGUGGGGUGGGGCGAGACCACAGGCAGGCGGGGGUGAGGCCCGGGGAAGCUGUCCCCCACCCCAGCCCCAGCCAGACACUCGAUGGGGACUGCAGUGCGGGCUAUCAUGACUCCCACUUCACCGAAGAGGAAACUGAGGCCCGGAAAGGUGAGGUACAGCCACUCUCCUGCCAAGAGCACACGUGGAGGAAGAGCGUUGGGCGGGAGUCCCUGGGCCUGGGGGCCUCUAUUCUGUCCCCUGCCACCAGGGGGCAGCCGUCUCUGGCUGCCAGGACCCUAGGCGCCCGAAGGGGGGUGGUGCUCUCUGGUGUGCCGGCCCCAUCUCUACCCUUUCCUGGUGACCUGCAGCUCCUAUGGGCAGGGAACAGGUGUGUCUUGUGGGCUGUUGUGUCCCCAACAUCCAGCACGGGGCACACCUGGUACUUACAUCUACCACCUACCCAGAAUGGCACCUGGCCAUUCUGACCCCAGCACACCCAGCCACACAAGCCCACACCCACUUACCCACCCACCCACUUCCGAGGCUGAGGGGCCCAGGGGAUGGGAUGGCACCAGACUAAAUCGCUGCCCUCCUGAAGAUGGCAGCCCGACGGGGUCCCC
ensembl:lncRNA